CUUAUCUUUCUUAAGUUUGUAUUUGAUUGGAGGAUGAAUUUAGAAAAGUGAAAAAAAAAUGAUUUUGAAAAAUAAAAGUAAAAAUGAAGUUAUUUAAAUUAAAAGAAAGAUGGAAGAAAAUGUUAAGAGAUUAUUUUAUUAUUAUCUUUAAAAUUAAUUUAAACUAAAGUAUUGUAAAGGUUUAGAAAAGAGUCAGUAUAAAAGAGAGUGACAGAUGGCAAACAGAUAAGAGGUUGAACAUUUUAAAAUAAAAUUACAUUUGUAUGAAACGCUAAUUUUAGUUCAUUUUCUCUUAUCUGAGAAACCAUUGUCUCCACUACAAGCUCUCUUCUUCUACUCUACCUUUUUUCCACCUUAAUUUCAUAUUGAACCGUUGAAUUGUUGAACAAAAGCUAUCUAGGCGAUCAGGACUUCAAGAGCAACAAAAUCAAUCGAUCAAUUUUCCUUUUUUUAACAUGUAUUCUUGAAAGCGAUUGGGGUCUCUUGUGAGCUUAACUGUUUGAGUUAGAGAGAAGUGUCUCCAAAAGAUUUUGUGGAGUGACCGAACGGUCGAGGAAUCGUCUGGAAAGACAUUACCAAAUGGCUCAUGAUGAAUGGCCGAUCAUAAUCUACGGUUUAGAACGAGAUUAAGGUAAGAUGUGAUUAAAGCCAUUGGGUCGUGAUUAAGGUUCCGCUAAUAAUAAUCUCAUGGCAAAAACUAUAAAUACAGGUCAAAAGUAUGAGGUAGGUAGUUCACAUUUACUACAUAUUUAUUAUUGUCCUAAAUUUACUGUGUGGAAUGUACACUGACUUGAGCGUCGAAGAAUCUUUGGCAGGUACCCUACCGGCCGGUCUUGAGAAGAAUGAGACGGAAGAGGAUGACCGGACGGUAACUAAAGAACACGAAGGAAGCAUCAGACAACUGUAAAUACAAAUUAUGGAAAUGUAGAUAGUGACUCGACCUCGCAAUCGAAACAAUUGUUAUUUAUUAUGUUAUAUUAUA